ensembl:lncRNA
UGUAGAACAGGAUGGCCUCGAAUUCACAGAAUUUCUCCUGCCUCUGCCUCCCAAGUGCUGGGAUUAAAGGUGGGCGCCACCACCGCCCAACUUCCCUGCCUGGCGUUUAAGAAGUCAAGAAAAUGCACUUGCUAUCUCCCCAGCACUGAGGUUGCACAUGCAUUUUGGCACGCCUGGCUUUUCCACGUAGAUUUGGGUGGUUCUAACUCAAGUCCUCAUAUCUUCACAGCAAGCAUUUGACUGAGCCAGAAGAGGAUACCAGAUCUCAUUACAGAUGGUUGUGAACCAUCAUGUGGUUGCUGGAAAUUGAACUCAGGACCUCUGGAAGACCAGCUAGUGUUCUUAACCAUUGAGCCAUCUCUCCAGCCCCUAAACAUUUUAUUUGAAAGAAAGCAAACUUCAUGGUGCUGGAGCCUGGACAUAGAGCCUGCUAGUGGGAGGCUCUGUCUCCCUUCAAGUCAGGAAGUUGUGUACUCAGCCAUCUGCAUCAUAUUUACUCUUCUCAGGAACAGAGCAAGCAUCUGCCUGUCCUUUAGAAAGAGAACAUAGGGGUGUCAAACAACAAGCAUGGCAGACAUUUGCUGAUGAAAUGCACGUGUCCAGAGGUGAAGCUACAGAAGCUGGGUCAAGAUGAGCAGGAUUUCUCAGAAGUAUUUUCUAUACCAAGUACCAAAUAGCAUUGGGUUUCCAAAGACACUGAGGCUUGAAAAAUAUGACUUUGCCCCUGGAAAGGUCCCUGUUUGCUGGCUUGGCUUGGGUGUUUGUAGCCUCCUCCCCUUGGACAGGGGGAGCAAAAAGAACUAAUGAGAUACCCACAGACCUCAUGGUCAGGCAGCUUUGGAUGCUUCCAGUCUGACUCACUUCAUCUUAUACACCUUGGGCUAACUGUGGACUCCACUGCCAUCACCAUGUAGCUCACAUAAUAACACCUGUGGGUUGAAGAAAAAUGCCCACACAGAGUCUAAUAGACACUGGGUGUGUCCAGUGUGGCAGAGGCUAUUGUCACUGGGGCCUGGAUUCUUGCCAUUAGCCUGACCUGUUCUGAGGGCUGGGAUGCUGACGCUCUAUCAGGUUGUGCUCUCUAAAGAGAAUGGCGUGUCAAGUCAUAAGAGCAGCUGAAUGAAGAGCCUGUUAUAACCAGCCUGAAGGCUCUCUCAGGUUUCAGCCAGCCCCCAGGUAAGACAGAGGCAACAUAGAGACACCCAAAGGCCACUAACCCUCUCACCACAUCAUGCCCUUAAAUCACUGUGAAGACAGAUGGGCCAUCUCAACCUUGCCUGCUCACCAGGAUCCCCUCGUGAGCACUGAAACAAUACUAGGGGCCCAGUUUGCCUAGACCAGUCAGAUCAGGAAUUCUAGUGGGGGAGAUUUGAUGGAGCUAAAGCUCCCUAGUGGAUUAGGAAGGACAGCCUUGUUGAAGAACUACUGAAUAUAUUCCAUUGCCAUGCUGGUAUCAAACUCAAGUCAUGGAGCUUGCUUGGCAAACUUUCUUACACCAUAAAUCAUCUCCCAGGCCAGGAUUCAAAAGACCUUAUCUCAACAAAACAGAAAACAAAGCAAACAAAACAAAAGCACUCAUCCUCAUGACAUUUACAAGAAUAUUCUCUGCACCCCACCCCAAGUACAGUGCAAAAGAAACCUUCCAAUUUAAGAAAAAAAAUUGGGAGCUGGACAGAUAGCUCAAUGGUUAAGAGCCCAUCUGUUCUUGCAGAGGACCCAAGUUUGGGUCCCAGCACCCAUGAAAGGGAAGCUCACAAGUUCUAGUAACUCUGGUUCCAGAGGAUCUGAAGUCCCUUCUGGCCUCCAUGGGUACCUGAACACAAGUGGAAUACACACAGAGAGAUAUACAUAAAUAAAAAUAAGGAGCUACAGAAUAGUGUCUUAGUCACUGUUUCAUUGCUGUGAAGAGACCUAAUAAUUAAGGAAACCCUUAUAAAAGAAAGCAUUUAAUUACGGUCUUGCUUACAGUUUCAGAUGUUAGCCCAUUGUCAUCAUGGUAGGAAGCAUGGAGGCAGAUAUGGUGCUGGAGAAGUAGCUGAGAGGGAGACUGGGGCUAGCAUGGGUUUUUGAAACCUCAAAAAAUGUGACAAACUUCCUCCAACAAGGCCACACCUCCUAGUACUUCUAAUCCUUUCAAAUAGUGCCACUCCCUGGUGAUUAAGUAUUCAAAUACAUGAGCCUAUGGGGGCCAUACAAACCAGAUGGCUCAGUAGUUAGGAUUACUGGUUGUUUUUAACAGAGAACCCAGGUGCUUGCUUCAAUUCCAAGCACCCAUAUGGCUGCUCACUAUCUGUAAUUGUAGACCCAAGGAAUUGGAUACCUUCUGGCCUUCCUGGGGACUGCACACAUGUGGUGCACAGACAUACAUGUAGGCAAGAGACCCUACAUAUUAAAUAAAAGCAAAGACUUUUUUGUUUUGUUUUUGUUUUUGUUUUUUGUUUGUUUUGUUUUGUUGUUUUUGUUUUGG